ensembl:lncRNA
AAAGAGGCCAAGCAAAGAGUACCUGUGCCAGCGCCACAUCAAAGUGCAGCAGCCUGACAGAGUGAACAAGCCUCCUGUCAGACUGUCAAACAGAAGAGUCGACUCUCCAGAGAAAAGGAGGCGUGAAGUCUUCCAGUGUCCAUCUGUGGCAGUCAAGAUGGACACCGACAACCAGUCUGAGCGGGCUCAGUCGGCCAUCUUGUUUUCAGCGUGGGUGCAGAGGAACUGUGUGAUGCUUAAAAAGCAAAAAAAAAAAAAAAAAAAAAGCGAGACAAAGAAGGAACUUUAACUCUUUUCCCACAUGUACCUGAACCAUUGUUCUUUCAGACACAGCAACCCCUAUAGCCAAAUGCUAACAUACGUUCAAUAUUUAAAAUACAGACGUAUCUGCUGUGAUGUCAUUCACUGGUUUGUGAAACCCCUUUUCGAAGGUUCAACUUUAGCUUCAAGGCUGACACCAUUUCAUUUUUGUGUACCUAGCAGUAAUGAAAAUAAGAUAAGAAGAUGGAGUGCUAAGUUAGCAAAAUAUAUCUAUAAAACUGCUAAUCAGUACUAAGUAACAGACUAAUAAAGAGCUAGAAUUUCACCCACCAACACUAGAGCCAGCUUCGUGGAUGGUCUGUUAGCAGAAUUUAACAAUAUAUAAAAAAGCAUCAACGGCCCAAACAGGUUAAGAGGCCCAGUUUUGAUGCAGAUUAACUAAAGUGAAGCCUAGCAUAGAACUAGCAGCUACAGCUACAUGUAGCAAUUAAUUUCUGCUGAUGUGACCUCUAAACACUUUGAUGCUUAGAUCGUAUUUUGCAUUUCAGAAUUGAGUUUUAUUCAGGCUGUGCUCAUUUGCUAAGAGAUUGAGAUUUGUUAGCCAAUAAGCAAGCAGUUUCACAGCGAGUCCCAUCCCGUUUCGCCACAAGAUGGAGACGGUAAAAAUACUCAUCUUGAGGCUUCAACGCGGGACUUUAGAAACCAGUACUUGGCAUCACAGUGGCUACAUCCAUCUUUUAUACUAUCUAUCACCGGCUUCCACCUGUCAGUCAAAAAUGAGCAAAAACUUCCAAAAGUGCUUUUGUCCCAAGGUAUAAACACGUU